GGGGUUAUAGCUCAGAUGGGAGAGCGCUUGCAUGGCAUGCAAGAGGUCGACGGUUCGAUCCCGUCUAGCUCCACCA
rnacentral:tRNA from 1 species